rnacentral:lncRNA from 1 species
AUGCGGUGAAAUUGCCCCUUUCCGAGCACACGCGUAGCGCCCCAGCCCAGCCUGGCACCCCCAGCCCUGCCCUGCCCUGCCCUUGCUAACGAAUUGUUUUAGCCAUUCUGGUUCCUGUGCCUUUCCGUAUAAAUUCUGUGGGACUUCGCGGCCCCUUCAAGGAGACUGAACUCAAAGCCUCUGGCCCAGACGAAGAACGACCAGACCCUUAUUGCCGCCCCAGCGUCUCGCUGUAACGCCCCUCCCUCACCUUGAGCUUCCAGCUCUUCCCUGCCCCCCCCAGGAAAGGACCCCUCUUUCUCCAACCAAUCAGCAGGUCAGCGGGUGUAUCCUGAGACCUCCCCCUCCCCGGGCCAGGACAACAGACAGGACCUCGCACCCAGGUCAACAUUACUUGGUGUCAGAAGUGGGAUCUGGAGAAGACCCUUGGUAACAACCAGGCAGUGAGCAAAGAGGUCUGGACUUGCAGAGGGUAUUGCGCUCAGCUUUCUUGCUGACCCUGGAGCUUGAGGGUCUGCGUCAGUCCGCAUGCUUGUUGAUGGAGAUCAAGCCGGACAUUGGAUGAGACGUGCCUGAUGGGAACGUCCUGAACGGGAUGUAGAAGAACAACCUCCAACUUUUGGCAGGAGGCUGGUUCGCUGGCUAGAGAACUCCGCCAAGCAAUCAGCAGCCUUGCCUCAGCCUUCGAAGACAACACAGUUCAGGCUUGCGCCACGACUCCGACGAGCCUCCUGUGACGCAGGCCUCAGGGCCCCUUGCACUCCUUCCUGCAACCCUCCUGCCUAACCCGUGAGCCGGCCCGGUGGCUGGGGAUGGACGCUCGUGCAGGAUGUCCAAGCGCUAAGUGCACUGCUAACCCCCGAGCCCCACAGCAUCCAGUCCCACCGAGAGCGCCCACUCCACCACAGCUGAUCUGCGCAGGGCACGCGUCACCACUCCAGCUGAUGAGGCCAGCCAGUACCUUUCUGCCUCCACCUGGAGGGGUGACGAUACACCAGGACAGUAAUGCCCCAGGUUUCGCAGAAAAUCCCUUAACACAAAUCCGGAAAGCUGACUUGGGGGACACAAAGGUCUUGCAGGCCUGACAUUGCUACAAUAUACACUCGGCCUUCGAACAACAAGGGACUGAACUGCACAGGUCCACUCACAUGCACCUUUUCCAGUAAAUGCCACGGCACGACUCGGCUGCACGGCUGAGAACCGCAGCACCACAGGUGCUGAGGGCGGACUACAAACGUACCCGUGGACUUUCAGCUGCACAGGGCGGGUGCCUCGAGCCACCACUUUGUUCGGGGGCCAGUGACAUAGACGCUUUGCUGCUCUGCUCUCCUUCUCAAACCUCUUCGUAGGAAGACAGUAUCCACCUGUCAAAACUUUUGGUCUUAAAGGGACAGAAACUCUUUAAGGAAAAGAUGUUGACGCUCAAACUCCGCGUGGGUAUUUCGGGCAAAAGCGAUUUCAGAACAAGGACCACAAGGGGGUCUGGGCAGCCUUCAUGCGUCUUGAACCCCCCCAAACCUAAAACCCCCCAGUUGGGAGGUUUUCUCUGGCUAGCUGGCUGCUGUCAACGUCAAAUUCCAAAUUUCUCUCUUAUGGCCCAGCUCCUAAUGCUCCGUUUAAAAUGAGCGAAGCUGGAGUUCUCCUCAUGGCACAGGGGAAACGAAUCCAACUAGUAUCCAUGAAGGUGCAGGUUUGAUCCCUGGCCUUGCUCAGUGGGUUGGGGAUCCCACGUUGCCGUGAGCUGUGGUGUCGGUCUGAGACGUGGCUUGGGUUCCACGUUGCCAUGGCUGAGGUAUUGGCUGGCAGCUGCAGCUCUGAUUCAACCCCUAGCCUGGGAAUCUCCGUAAUGCCACGGGUGUGACCCUAAAAAGCAAAAAAAAAUUUUUGUAGUUAAAGAAAAAAAUGAGCAAACCCAACCCCGUUGUUUGGAGAGAUCAAGAUGGCAACUCUCUGAGCCUCGAAGAAACCGUAGCAAGGCCCUGCCCUUGGCAUCCUCGCAACAGCUUCCCUUUCCCUCUUCGUAUGUGAGAAGGAAGGGGGCGCCCGUGGAGGAGUCGCCCCCAAACACAGGACCGUCCGCGAGCCAUGGAGUGCUGCAGCCGACAGCUGGACCCUGAGGCCCGGGGACCCCCCUUGUCUCAGAGCCAUCCCUGCCACUGCCCUUCUGGUUAAGGCCACUGGGCCAUAGUCAGGGGACCCUUCCAGCCAGCUUUGCGCUCCGGCAGCACAGCCCUCCCGAGGUCUCAGCACAGCCCGCACUUUUCGGUGAGUGGCCCGCCUCCUACAAAGUCCUGCCGCUGACAGGUCCUCGCCGAACUCUCCCGUGGUGAGCCCCUCAGCCCUGCGCCUCGCCCCUCUGUCUCUGGGGAAGCCCCUCGCCACUGCCCACCAUGGCCAGACCAGCUCCUGCCUCCCGCCGUGGCUCACAGGACCCUCUGCCCCCACGGAUCUGCCAUGCUUUGCUGGCCCUGCCUACUGAGGGUGACAGUGCUGAACGCUGCGCUGGGGGAGCGGCUCCACCGCCUCUGGAUGUCGCCACGUCCUGACUUUGGGCUACGUUGGCCCAACAGGCUGAAUGGUGUGCUCUCGCUCAGGCCUGUACUUUAGCCAAGGGCCAAACUGGCACAUUUACACCAACAGCCAGUGUGCCUGUCGGGGAGCCCGCGACCUUGGGAUGCUGUGGAAACAGUGGUUUCCUUACCUGCAAUGGGGGAAAGAUUAAAAGUGGCUCUCACGUCCAAAUCGAAUAGACGCCAUACUCCUGGCAGCCGCUCAGGCGAUAAUUAAGACCCCGGGUUCCAGACCCGACUCCCGGAGGCCGACGAAAACCACUUCACUGAUGUUUGCCCCAAACGCUGCUCCCAAAGGCGCCAACGGCCAGACUUCUGUGGCGGCCCAAAGAGCUGCCCACGACGACAAUCUGGAAAAAUUGACUAGAAAUGCGCAAUAAUUGGCCCCAGAAAAGCAAAGACAAUACUGGAAACCUAGUCACUGCUGGUUCGAUAAAAAAGGAGAGAAUGCUAGUUUGGGCCAAAGAACAGUCCGGCCCCAUUAGAAAUUCUAAGACUCCCCGAGCUCCUGUCACGGCACGGGGUUAACAAACCCACCAGGACCGUGAGGAUGCAGGCUCGAUCCCUGGCCUCACUCAGGGGGUUGAGGAUCUGGCGUUGCCGUGAGCUGGGGUGCAGGUCGCAGACGUGGCUCAGAUCUGGCGUUGCUGUGGCUGUGGUGCAGGCCAGCAGCUGUAGCUCCAGUUUGACCCCCAACCUGGGAACAUCCAUACGUCGCAGGUGCGGCCCUAAAAAAAAAGAAAUUCUAAGACUCCCUCUUCUCUCCAGUGCACCUGCAUUAAACCACAGGUCCACUGACAGAACGACAGCCUCCACGAACCAGCACUGGUGGAAAUAUUAUUAAUAAGGCCACAAAAAGCGUCGCCCUUGCCUGCCCACUUGUCCAAAAUACGAUCCAGAGAAACCUCUCUGCUCUGCUCCCAGACAUUUUUUUUAUAGGCACACUAUUUUAUUAACUCUUAAAUUUCAGAGUUUCUGUUGUGGUGCAGUGGAAACUAACCAUGAGGUUUCCGGUUCAAUCCCCACCCUUGCUCAGUGGGUUAAGGAUCCAGCAUUGCCGUGAGCUGUGGUGUAGGCCGGCAGCUACAGCUCCGAUUAGACCCCUAGCCUGGGAAUCUCCAUAUGCCGCAGGUGCAGCCCUAAAAAGACAAAAAAGACAAAAAAUAAAUAUAAAUUUUAAAAAGAAAAAAAAAAAACACUUAAAUUUCACUAUCAAACAAUGCUGGCCAUGCCUUGUUCAGACUCUUGACAUCAAGACACACGGACAGAGUUUUAAGGGCACAGGGUUCAACGCAGCGUAACAUGCUAACAGAAAACCUAAGAGGUGGCAAAACGACGCUUUUGCUCGCAAGUAUGGGGACAAGCCCCGCGACUGGAGGACAAACCUGGACCGAACAGAGGGGCCCUUGGCUCCCAGACCCUCCGCACCGCCUCGCGAGCCCUGGAGGCCACCGUGGGUCCGAGUCUGGGCUACCUCGCGCUGUACGUUUUCUCACCGGACCAACGUGUCCCCUGUGCACAGGCCGCCGCUUCUUCCGAGGCCAACCCUUUGUUAGAAAGGAGUAUCCUUCCCUGAGGGCCCCCCUCAAACUUCCCCGUGACGGGGGGACCACUGUACGGGUCUCCGACUUCGACGAGGCUCCCCUGUUGGGCGGGCUUUGCACUUUCCCGCCUCUCUGGCCCCAGGCUGCAGGCUCCGUUGAAUGCACCACUGGCACCACCAACUCCCACCCGGCAGGAUUUACAGGGAAACUCCCACCUGGCAGGAUUUACAGAGAAACUCCCACCUGGCAGGAUUUACAGAGACCCCUUCCCCCCACCCCACGGUGGCCCAAAGCAUCGCCACGUACCCUUCUCCCUCCCUCCCAGAGCCACUCCCUCGAGAUGGGCCUCUUUUGACCCGCGGGCGAAGGGAGCUGUUCCUCCUCAUCCUGAAGGCCUGAGAGCUCCUGCUGGAAACGGUCCCGCUCUGGGAGGGCCGUCUGCUCGCCGGGCGCUCCCGGGAGCCGAGGAGCCCAAGGAUCACACCUGCCACCCAGAGACUUUGUCUUUUGGAGAAGACGCCUCCGGAAGGACUCCCUUCCACCCCACUGGCAAGACCCCACUACUCAGCCACUGCUAACCCACCCGUGCUGCCAACUGACACACCUGGCAAAGCACCCACCGUCGACGGAGCUGCACACCGUCUGGUGACCCGGAAGCAGAGAUGCCACGGAACUGAAUGGAUGACGCCUUUUAGGUUUCAAAUUCAUACACGUCUCUCCUUUCAUCUGGACUACUACCUGACUCACCUCUUAUCCAAAUUCAUGGUCUGAAUUUGUAACUUAAUUGCUAUAUUAUUGAUAAACAUUUAGCUCC